rnacentral:lncRNA from 1 species
UUGGAUGAGAUGAAUAAGGGAAAUUAUUAGGGUUUGGUUUAGUGGAGAAGCGAGAAAGCGAAUACAAAUCAAAGCAACAAGUGAAAUUACCAGAAGAAUGUGCAAGUAGUAACUGAGAUUUCAAUGGACAGAAGGUCCUCAUCAGUCUCUUCAUCAUCAUCUUUGAAUUUCUCUCUUUCACUGUCUGCUCUUUAUCUACAAACUCUGCUCUUCUUGUAAAUUGUAAUGUUGUGUAUUUUCUGUUUCACUGCGAUUGUGUGCUUCAAUGUUAAAAUUCUCUGUAAUUUUGUAUCACCAUCCGAAUCUGAAACCGGAGAAUAAUAUAAUUAUAUAUAUAUAUAAUUUUAUAUAUUACAUGUCGUAUUAAAUUAUAUAACACAAUUAUAUAUUAUUUUAUAUACUGGAGAUUAUACAAUAUACAUAUUAUUGUAUAAUUAGAAUAUGUAUUUUUCUUAAAGUUAAAAAUUGGCUAAUAAUAAACUUUAACAAAAUUAAAUUAUUGUAUAAUUCAAAUGGUUGAUACAGUGAACUAAAAUUUUCUAGAAACAAAUAUUGUUAAUUGAUUUGAUUAAUAAAAUUUUAGUUAUUCAUUUAUAAACCAAACUGAUAUUGAUUUCGAGUGCUUGUAAUUUUUAUAAUCAUAAAUAAUCAGUAAUUAAAAAUAUUUUCCGAUUUCAGGUUCAGGUUUUAGGUUUUAGAUAUUCAAUAUAAAAAAAAAAUCAAGUUUCGUGUAUACCCGAAAUCCAAUCCGAAAUUCAUAGGAUUAGGUUCAACUAUUCAUUUUAGAUAUUUUUCGAGUUCAGAUUGAAUCUGGGAUGGAUAAAAAAUUCGGAGUUUGAAUAUGUAUUUUGUCAUACCAUUCCUCAUACUUGAUCCAAUUCAAUAGUCAUCCCUAGUCCAAACAGGUCCAAAACGAUUAUAUUUUAACCGAUUCAAAUAAAAAAUUUCAAUCCUACAUAUACCCGGAUUAAAAGUACACCUAUAAAUUUUGAUUUUCUCAAACUGACCCAAUCUAAAAUGUCCGAUUAAAAUUGGAAUAGUUAAAAAUCAAUACUAUAACUAAAAAAAACACCAAAUGAUAUACAUAUGUCAGCUUCUCCUUCAAUUGCUAACAUCAUCUUUCACUUAUUAUUUGAUUAAUUAAUUAAUUAAUUAAUUAAUUUGUUUUCUCUUUCUCAUUAAUUACAAUCUCCACUUAUUCCCUCUCAUACUCAUUUCUCACCUACUUCAUCAUUUUUCUUUAACUAAAAGUUAAAAUAAUUUUUCUUCCAUUCUCAUUUCUCAACUAUUUUUAGAUCUUAAUUUAAUUUUUUUUUAAAAUGCUUAUCGAUUAUUUUAUAUUUUUAAUUCAAAAAAAAUCAUAAUCACGAAUAUUCAAAUAUUUUAGUUAUCACUUUAAUUUUUUGUUUAAAAUUAUUUAAUUUGAAAUAUACUCCAUCCACUCUAUUAAAACUUACAUAACUUAUAAUAUAUAAAUAUAAUCAGGUUAUAUAAAGUAUGAGAAAAACAUUAUUAAAAAUUAUAUUUAAUUUAACUCUCAUAUUUAAUUUUAACACUUUUAAAAUUAUACAUAAAUAUUAACUUGUAGUCAAACUUGAAUUUAAACAUCGCAUAGGUUAUGAAUCAGACAGGAAACUCAUUCCAUAACCUUAGUUUCAGCUUGUGUUUUUACUUUUCAGUUUCGGACUUUCUUUUUUCAUUUUGUAAUAUGAAGAAAAUAAUAAUAACAUGACAGCAAUCCAAUCCAACCCACAGGUUCAUUUGCCUCCCUUUCCAGUAAUCCACAUUCUGAUACUAUUCCAGAGCAUCCAUCUUUCCGGAUUAAUAAAUACUAUAAAAGAUGGAAUAAAGUUUUUCUCAAAAGUAGGGACAAUUUGGAGAGAGAAUGUCAAUAGUACGAUUUUCCACGUGACACGAAAAUUAAACGAAAAUUUAGUGUUUGUGUUUUCAUUUUGAGUACACGGCACAAAAAAUACUAGAACACUAAGUACACGACUGACGUGUAAUGUCGGUUUUGUGUUUGCCCUUUGAGUACACGACACGAGUUACACGAAAUAAAUAUAAUUUAUAAUUAAAUAUUAAUAUUUAAUUAUAAAUAUGUAUAAUUAUAAUAAAUAAUUAAAUAUAUGUUAUUUUCUUUUAAAAUAAUGGAUAGUUUAUAAUAUUGUAAGUAUAAGUGACUCAAAUGUAUAUAUUUCAUAUAAUUUUGUAAAAUUUUUACCUAGAAAUCUAAUACUUACAUUAUUUUAUAUAUUUAUUUAUAUUUAUUAAAUAUUUCAGUUCAACUUUACACGAAACACGAUGAGAACGACCCGGAAACGGAGUUACACAACACGAAAAUACAUGAACACUGAAUGGUCGGUGGUCGGUUUUGUGUUUGGUUUCUAAGUACACGACACCGAAGUAUACUAUACGAACGGAUCGUCGGGUCUAGAAAAGAGUGCUUCGCUUUUUGACCUAUAAAUUCAGGCUCGCUUAAAAAAACUAAUACAAUGGUUAACAUGAUGCAUGGGACACCAAAAUAAGACACUCAACUUGACGUUUAUGAUAUGUUAAUGUACUGUAGUUUGGCUAUACACCUCUGUACCCAUUGCACACCUUGCUGCGUACACAGAAUAUCAAGUCUUCCAUUUGAAUUUCGGAAAGAAAAAUGUUUCAUCAGUACCAAGCACACAUCUGAAGACUUUUGAAACAGAAUAUUGCUAUAUAUACAGAAACAUUCUAAACAAUAGAAAAUCUACUAACCUGCCUCUGUCAUUGUGUCGCUCAUUGAGACAAGAUGACUAUUGGUUUCCAGUUGGUCAUGGUAUUACCAAUAUUCAUGGCUUUGUCAUUCUUUGGCAUGUAUGAGGCCAGGGCUGGCCGGCUUCUUAUGAAUGCACCGUUCCAGCUUCCCGCCAUCCCCAACUUCCCGUUCCCUCCUUCCCUGGGAUCCCAGGUAAACUUUUUCUUCAUUAUAUGUUUAAUUGGUUCCGGAGAUGAGCUUCAUAUUUACCUAUACGGUUAAUGGUGCUCUCUCGUCCUCAAACUUAUUAUUGUCAUGCACUGUAACCCUGGAAGUUAUGAUCACGGCAUUUUCUUUGGUUACUUUGUCAAUGACCUGUGAAGGGGUUCAUAACCUUAACAUUUCUUCUGAAUGUCAGUGGUACUAAUGCCAUUGCUAGGUGUAAGGUGUUGCCAACUUAGGAGGAUAAAUAUGUUAAUUUUGAACUACAUGGACAAAAUAUUAGCAUGUUAUAGACUCAGAGGACGGGAGGUGUUAUAUAUCUUCUGAUUAUAAAUCUCUGCUUAACAGCAUAAACACGUAUUAUAAUAUAAUAGUAAAGCAAGUUAUUUCAGCUUUUAUUUUACCCUCGAAAAUUAUCCUCUGGACAAUGUAGUUCUAGAUCAUUAUUUUCUAGAUGUAAAAGCUAACAGCACCACUCGCAUAUUGUCCUGCUUUACUGUUCGUGUGUAUGGUAGAACUCUCAAGUUUUGAGGGAUUCACAAAGUAGUGGAGAAUAGCAUGACAACGAGUCAACGACAUAUGUGGGUGAAAAUUCUUUACUAUUGAUAUUCAUAAUCACUAUGGGUUGCAUUCUGUUAUUGAAAGAAAGUUAUCCAGUUAGGCUACGAUGUUAAGGAUGAUUGUGAAGUCAGGGGAACACACAAAUUUACUACUCAAGAAAGUUCGAUUCAAAUUUUUUAUAAUCCACUCUAGAAAUAUUUCAAGGUGUUUUAUGAUGACUUACAAACAAAUGCAGUGGUUUAUUAUGUCGAUUGGGACUUCAACACAAAAGAUUGGCCUUCUGGGAAACCCUUUCACGCAGGUGACAUAAUCGGUAAGCCAGCAAUAAUCUGUUAAAUCAUGGAAUUUAACACCAUUGUUGCAUAUCAACAUAAAAAUCAUCUUCACUUUAACUGAUCAAAUUUUUACAUUUUUUUGAUUGGUUUUCAUUUGCAGUAUUUAACUACAAUAGAAAUCUGCAUAAUGUGGUUACAAUAAAUGAGACCAAAUAUGAAGAUUACCUGAACUGUGUUGUAUCUGACAAGGCAAACAUCCUGAGCACCGGAAAAUGGAAAUGAUGCAAUAACGCUGCAAAAUGGAGUCAACUACUUCAUUUGUGGUACAAUGGGCCACUGUACUGCUGGAAUGCAGAUAGCUAUUGUUACGACCUAAUUAACUUUAAGCUAAUAGCAGAUUAUUGUAAUCCAUGUGAUGCUAAUUGUAAUUAUAAGAACAAUAUGCUUGAUAUAAUAUCUACAUUAAGUUUACUUACUUCAAACUUUGGUCAUUGUCUACGUUAAAAUAUGUUGGUGAUAACGCAAGAAAAUGUGUUCAAUAUUAUACCAUGAGCCAACAAUUUCUUACAUUCUACUUUUUGGCAAUCAUUAUUCUUAUCUGGCAAGAACAACUUAAACAAGGGAAAAAAAACAAAAAUCGAUAAUGUACCUCUAUCGAUUAGGCUUCUUUAAAUGGAAGCCGAGAUGCAUCUUUGAAGAACCGGUAAAAACUAAAAACUUUGGGCUAAAAUGAAUAGAAAUGCUUCACUGUACUUCUUAGUUUGAAUACCUUCACAUUCGAGUAUAAUGUGGGUCAUUAUCUGGCAAGCAAUCAUUUCAGCUUCAACUCCUCCAAACAGGGCAUUAUUUCGUCAAACCUUCUCGACAAAUCCUUACAUCAGCAUUGUGUAUGUCCUGUUUUUGCAGUCGUUGAAAGUAAGUUAACAUAAAGAUAUUUGGCAUUGUAAACCUCUUCGUUUCCUGCACAACUUGUCAAGCAGGAUAUUAGACAUGAAAAUUUCAGGAAUGAAAUCACUGAAUUGCAUCAACUGAAAGGACAGUGUUUCAUUAACAAAUAAGUACUGCAAAGGCCAUUUUGCAAGAUAUUGCAUGUCAUAGUAUCUAGUAUUGAAACAAAAGGUUUUAAUAGAUAAUAGAUUUCUAAAGUUCAACUUAUUUUACACAUUUAUAUUUUCCAUUCGGACAGCUACCUUGCACCAGCAAGAAAAUUACCCUAAAGGAGCAUAUUAUGGUCAUGAGAUGGACAGCAGUAAUCAAUGCAUUGAGUAAUGAGAUGAUCAGCUGAAAAUCUGACCAAGUGACUAAGAAGACUACACAUAACUCAGGCAGUUACAGUACAACUCUUGAAAAGUCUGAUAGUCUAAUUCAUAUAUGACAGCAAGCGUGAACCAUGCAAAAAAUGAAUUUGUAAGAAUUUGGACAUCAUCAAGCACACCGGUAACUCGGUAAGAUACUGGAGAUCUGGACAAAUCGGAGAAUUGAUUUCUAAUUAUAAUUGUAACUGAUUAUUUUUUCACUUGAGGAAAAAAAAAAUACAAUGGGGUUUCAAUAGAAAUUGAGAGAAUUGAGUAAAUUAUAGUUGCAUUUGCUCAAGUUUUUUUUUACUGUGGUAACAUAAGAUAAGAGCUGCAAUUUCAUUUUUAUUAAAGACCUGGGAUGACUAGUUGAAAAGCUCUACACAACUCUUUCAGGUGUUCACCUGAAAGUGCUAGACAGGGGCCUUGGGAUCUGCUACUGCCAAUUGGCAUGGGAUGAAAAACCUACAGAGUCAGUAUCACUUGAUCUCUCCAUCCAGGUUGUUCAUUGUCAGAAUCUAACAGUAGUAACGAGAGGUUAUAGUGAAGAAGAGUAUAAUACAGAACUAUAUCCUUUGUGGAGGAAAGAAACAGACUAGUAGACACCCUUAGAAAAUUCAAAUAUCACUAAGAGACUCUCAAUUUAGACUUAGAGUCAUAAGUGAAAAGUGAAGGAGGAAUGAUAAAAACAUAUACUACAUUUCUUUCAUUUUUGUGCAGUUUUGACUUUAAAUAUCCAACCUGGCAUCUUAACAUGAGAAAGAGACUAUUAUACUGCAACUUUAGCAAAGUCGGCACUAAUUGGUUUUUGAUAGAACUGGCUACAUCUGGAGAAUGUUGGCAAAUGAAAUAAAUUAUGUACCUUAGCAAUCGCUCCCUUUGUUAUACAUAUCAAUAGCCUUUAACGCAACGGUUCUGGGCAUCUUGCGGUUUGAGCAAGUCCAGUAAGUGGUUGAUGCAUCUGCUGAGAAGUCACGAGAACGCAUCUGAUCCACAUGUACACCUGCACUGUACUUAUUAUAAGAACUACAAAUAUGUGUGUUGUGGGUAACAGCAUCUGGGGAGCAAUCAUUAUCUUCCAUUUCAGCAAAUAGAUCACUGGCUUCAUCAAACAAACCAUCAUGGCACAAUCCUCCUAUCAUCAUUCCAAAAUUUUACUAGCUAAUUAUAUUAUAUAAAAACUAUCUGGAAAAAAAAAUAUAUAUAUAUAUAAACUAACCCCAACAAUUGGUCAUUUCAGUACAUGGAAGAAAAUAUAUUAGUCGGUAGGAGAACAACUGCGAACUUUACAGCAUAUAACAUCUCACAGCAUAGUAGUUGAGCCUGUGCGCACUACAUGCCAUUAUUUUGAUUGUUACUGCCUGCAAAUUUGUUUGCAAACCUUAACAAAUGCUGGCAAAUUCGAAAAAAGUAUGUACCUGGGCACUCUCAUCCUUUGUCACACCUAUGGAAAGUACCUCACAUGCAAGGCGAGUAGAGCAGGAUCCCGUUCUUUCACUUCAAGUAAGUGUAGUAAUGCAGAUGCCGUAGAUGCAUCCGCGACAAAGCGGAGACCAAGCAUUUCAUCUAGGAGUACACCUGCUUCAUAGUACUUCCUAUUCUGUAAGCAACCGUGGAUAAGCAUGUAGUAUGUGACAUCACCAAGCUAGCAAUCAUUAGCUUCCAUUUCCCUGAAUAGUUCAUUCGCUUCAUCCAAUAACCCUCCAUGACAAUAUGCUUGGAUCAUCACUGUGUAUGUCUUGACAUUAGGUCGCAAACCUUUCGCAGGAAGGUUGUUAAAAAGAGUUCUUGCUGCUUCAAGUUGUCCUUUUUUGCUUAAUCCAUCAAUCAGAAUGGCAAAUGCAUAAAGCAGGAACUAACCCACUGCAUUCCAUCAUUUGAAGAAAGGACAGUGCUUCAAGAACCAUGGUUGUCACGUCGAUGAGUCGAGGCGAGUCGAUGGACCUCCGUCUAAUCGACUAGUCGACUAGUCGUUGACAAGUCGUAGACUAGUUGACAAAAAAAAUAUUAUUAUAAAUUAAAAAUUAUAUAUAUAUAUAGACACACACACACACACGCACACAUAUAUAUAUAUCGUGUAAAUUGGAUUUUUUAGUUCUAACACCUUCCACAAUGUUUUACAGUAUUUCAGAUUCUAAGGAAUUAAGAAUCGGAAACUUAAAGAGAAUGAUGGAAAAGCGAAAAGAGUUAACAAAUAACAAUAAAACAAAGUAAAAUAUGUAACAACUGAUAUAUAACAAUUGUGUGAUACUGUGAUGUGAUGUGGUAGUGCAGCAAGUAAGCAACAAAUAUGCGCAGAAAUAAUAUAUACAAAGUUAUGCACAACUUAUUGUGCAGAUUGCAGAAAAACAGAGCAGAAAAUAUAAUCAGAGAAAACCAAAGCAGGAUAUUUAGCAGCUCGACUAGUCGACUAGUUGGUCGUCGACUAGUCGACUAGUCGACCGAAAUAUCAACAUUCAGCUAGUCGACAAGUUGAGUCGACAUCCAUUCACCGCUUAGUCGACUAGUCGUCGACUAGUCGAGACUAGUCGACCGACAUGACAACCAUGUCAAGAACAUAAACGUUCUCGCAAAGACCAGGACUAAUUGAGGCUUUUUAGUAUUAGUAAAAGAUACCAAGCUAAUUGAGGCUUCUUGUGGAUAAAUUUGUAUAGGUAUAUAAUAUAUGUUAAUUUCUGGAGACAUGAUGGACCAAGGCUCUGACAAAAGAAAGACCAAGCCAACUAAUGCAAUUGCAAAAAAUUUAAUAUUCAACAAAAUAAUAUCAAAUUGACUCCAACCAACCGUAAUCAUAUUAUGUUGAGAGAUAUAACUAAACUAAAUACAAACAAAGAGGAAUUGCCAAAACUUAAAACAGUGGCAUUUGACAUAAUACUAAUACAGCUAGUCACCAAUAGAUACCAAUAUGAUUUAACUCCAAAUUUGUGGAAGAACCUUUAAAACUAUCUUGUACCUUAACAAACUCUCUCCUUGCUUACACUUGGGGAAAGAACUUCCUAUGCAAAGCAUGGAGAACUGGGUCCUGUUUUUCUGAUCUGAGUAGGUCCAUUGGCAUGUAGGUGGUAGAGGUAUCUGCCGAUAUACUACUUCAACUCGGUCGCAGCUGUUUAAAUAGAAAAGACAGCAAUCCUGAAUAUACUUGCAUCAAAGCUACCUCUUUUAAAUGAGCGCUCCGUCCGGAUCCAGUCCAAUCAUAAAAGCAAAUUAUAUACAGAGGAAAUAAUCAAAAAGGCACUUAAAUAUAUUUGUAAACACCAGCACACCACAUUUGCACUCAUUAAGAAAAUACUCUUUGAUUUUCUCGAUAAAUCACCAGAGCAACAUGAAGAGGAACAGAAGAACUCUCUGAAAUAGAAUUGAACAAUAUUUCAUGGGACAAGUUUCAUCCAAGAGUAGUUGUUAAAUACCAAAUUUAAUAGCACAUGAGAUUCAUGGCAUGUUAUCUCAUACAAAUCAACAGUUACAACACAUAUGUUAAGUAAUCUAAUAGAUGUAUAAUUGAUCCAUAAAUAAUUAAUGUUCAUCACUUAAAACAGAAAAAAAAUAACCAUGGCAAGAACCUCAUACACAAAGCAAGCAAAUUUUGAUCCUGUUCCCACCAUUCAAGCAAGUCCAGUAACAUGGAGGUCUUAGAAGCAUAUAUUCUGAGAAGCCGCGACCACAUAUCUCUUCUUUAAGUACAAUUGCCCCGUUGUGCAAAAACCACAGAUAAGGGUGAUGGAGGUAGCAUCAUUUGGGAAGCAAUCAUUUCUUCCAUUUCCACAUAUGGUUCAUUUGCUUUAUUGAGUAAGCCUUCUUGACAAAAUACCUGUAUCAUCAUUGUGUAUGUCUUCACAGUAGGUCGCAAAAAUAUUUUCAAGGAAGGCUGUCAAAUAUACUUCUUGCCUUUCCAAAAUUUCUCAUCUAUUAGAUAUUGGGCCAUUAACAAAGAAACCAAAGAAAAUUUUUGAACUUAACUGAGUCGAGGGACUCCAAAGAGUAGCUUAACUUAUUGUUGUAUUUCCUCGGAGUGAUGAUUACAGACAAUAAAAAAAUCGAAAAAACUGGAUGCGUAAACAACAAAGGACCAGUAGGAGAACUGCAAAUUUUACAACACUUAUAUCGAACUAAUCCUAGCAAACUCGAAAAGAUUAUGUACCUGGGCACUCUCUUCCUUUCAAACACUUAAGGAUCGGAGAGUACUUAUCACGCAAGGCAAGGAGAGGAGGAUCCGGUUCUUGCACUUCAAGUAAGUCCAGUAAUGCAGAUGCUGUAGAUGCAUCUGCUGCAAAGCUGUGGCCAAGCAUUUCAUCUAGGAAUACACCUGCUUCAUAGUACUUCUUAUUCUGUAAACAACCACGGAUAAGCAUGUUGUAUGUGACAUCAGUAGGCAAGCAAUCAUUAGCUUCCAUUUCCCUGAAUAGUUCAGUCGCUUCAUUCAAUAACCCUCCAUGAAAAUAUGCUUGGAUCAUCAAUGUGUAUGUCUUGACAUUAGGUCGCAGACCUUUCGCAGGAAGGUUGCUAAAAAGAGUUCUUGCUGCUUCAAGUUGUCCGUUUUUGCUUAAUCCAUCAAUCAGAAUGGUGUAAAUAUAUAUAUCAGGAACUAGCCCACUGCAUUCCAUCAUUUGGAAAAAGGACAGUGCUUCACGAACAUAACCAUUCUUGCAAAGACCAUCCAAUAAAAUUGCGCAAGUCACUUUAUUCAACUGAAGACCUUUGUUAAGCAUCAUCUUUUCCUUAAAAAAUUUACGUGCUUCAACAUGUCUACCCGCACGAAAAAAACCUUGCAUUAUAGUAUUGUAAGUCUCAGUAUUUGGGGUUAAACAUUCAGAGGACAUUUGUUGAAAAAGAUCUAUUGCUAUGUCCACUUUCAACUUUUUACAAUAACCAUUGAUGAGAGUAUUAUAGCUAAGUGUAUCAGGCAAUAUUGCCUUUCUCUUCAUGCUUUCGAACACUGCUAAUGUUUUAUCAACCUCUCCCCUCAAGCAGUAUCCAUCCAUUAGUGCAUUAUAUGUUACUACAUCAGGAUAAUGGCCUCUUUGAAUCAUCAACUGUAUCACAUCCUCUGCAUCUUCAAUCAUUCCUUCUUUGCAAUACGCAUCAACCAAUAUGCUGUAAGUAAAAACAUCUCGAGAAAUGUUCCUAACAUCCAUCUCCUUGAGCAAUAAUUUGACAUCAUGCCAUCGAUUAAUGUCACACAGUCCUUGAAUUAACGAGCUGUAGGUUAUAACAUUUGGGGAUAUGCCUUUCCUUGUCAUUCGGUGGAGAAGACCCAAUGCUUGAUCAACUAAUCCAUGUUUACAUAAACAGUCAAUAAUUGUGGUGUAAGUGAUCGUAUUAGGCCUGCAACCUUUCUUCUCCAUAAUUUUAAACAACUUAACAGCCACAGAAGGAUUCCCUCUCUUGCAGAUGCCGUCAAUGAUAGUUGUAUAGGUAACAACAUUGGGUUGAAUAAGUUUAAAUCUAAUGAGGUUCUGGAACAAAAGCUGAGCCUCAUGAGGCAUAUCUUGGGAAAUAAGGCCCCUGAUGAGAGUGGUAUAAGUAAACACAUCAGGGACAAAACCAUGCUUGAUGAUUCCAGCCAAUAGUGAAAAGGCAAAAUCAACACGAUUCAAGUGACAAAAGCAGUUAAUGAGAGUAUUGAAGGUAAUUACAUUAACAGGGAUGCUUUCUACACGCAUCUUUCUAAAAAGGGAGACAGCUACGGAGUACUCUUUCAUCUUAAUCACAGCGGCUAAGAGUUGAUUAAAUUUAAGAACGGGAAGCAGAGGCUUCAUAAGGAGCAUUUUAUCAAACACUUGGAGACCAUCAUCGAGUUUAUCGAAACCAACCUUGGACUUCUCAAGGAGUAGAUGUUGAAGUCGAGCAUGAGUUGGAUGAGAUGAAUAAGGGAAAUUAUUAGGGUUUGAUUUAGUGGAGAAGCGACAAAGCGAAUACAAAUCAAAGCAACUAGUGAAAUUACCAGAAGAAUGUGCAAGUAGUAACUGAGAUUUCAAUGGACACAAGGCCCUCAUCAGUCUCUUCAUCAUCAUCUUUGAAUUUCUCUACUUCACUGUCCGCUCUGUAUCUACAAACUCUGAUCUUGUUGUAAU